rnacentral:tRNA from 1 species
GGGAAAGUGGCUCAGUGGGAGAGCUCUUGCCUUGCAUGCAUGAAGCCCUGGGUUCGAUUCCUCAGCACCA